GACGUAGGGUCCGAGCGUUGUCCGGAGUUACUGGGCGUAAAGGCGCGUAGGCGGCUUUGUGCGUCACACGUGAAAGCCCCUGGCUUAACCAGGGAGGGUCGUGUGAAACGGCGAAGCUGGAGGCAGAGAGAGGCUGGUGGAAUUCCCGGAGUAGUGGUGAAAUGCGUAGAUAUCGGGAGGAACACCGGUGGCGAAGGCGGCCAGCUGGCUCUGACCUGACGCUGA
rnacentral:rRNA from 1 species